rnacentral:rRNA from 1 species
UGUCGUGAGAUGUUGGGUUAAGUCCCGCAACGAGCGCGAACCCCUGCAUUCAGUUGCCAUCGGGUAAUGCCGGGCACUCUGGAAGGACUGCCAUACGGACAAGAUGGAGGAAGGUGGGGAGUGACGUCAAGUCAUCAUGGCCCUUAUGUCCAGGGCGACACACGUGCUACAAUGGCCGGCACAACGGGAAGCGAGUUCGCGAGGACGAGCGGAUCCCUUAAAGACCGGUCGCAGUUCGGAUUGAAGUCUGCAACUCGACUUCAUGAAGCUGGAAUCGCUAGUAAUCGUGGAUCAGCCAAGCCGCGGUGAAUACGUUCCCGGGCCGUU